AUGGGCAUCCUGGAUCACUCGGAGGACGAGGAGGAGGAGGGGAGCCACUACGGCGGCAGCGGCGGAGGCGCGAGGUUCGGCGCGCGGCGGCAGAAGCCGAGGUCCAAGAGCCACCACCAGCUGCUGCUCAUGGACAGCGUCGGCGGCGGCGCGGACGGGGAGUGCGCGUCGGAGGAGGAGGAGGUCGUGCCGCUGCCGGAGUACGAGCGGCUGUCCCAGUCCGCGCGCCUCCCGGGCGACGACGACGACCCGGCUGGCGCCGAGGCCCCGCCUCCUCCGGCCGAGCGGAGCGCGUCCCUGACGCCCCCGCCGCGGCAGCAGCAGCAGCAGAAGCCGGCGGCGUGGCGGCUGCUCCAGUACGUGCGGUCCAUGCACAGGUCUUCGAGCUCCGACGGAGACAAGGAGGGGAUCGACGGCGAUAAGGAAAGGGUCGACGGCGACGGCGACGGCGACGGCGAGGGGAGGAAGGACAAGCAGCGGAAGAAGAAGCGCUCCUCGUGGCUGCCGGACCCCGACCGCCGGUGGCCGGUGCAGGGGUUCUACUAG
rnacentral:rRNA from 1 species